rnacentral:rRNA from 1 species
UCUACGGGAGGCAGCAGUGGGGAAUAUUGGACAAUGGGGGCAACCCUGAUCCAGCCAUGCCGCGUGUGUGAAGAAGGCCUUUUGGUUGUAAAGCACUUUAAGCAGUGAAGAAGACCUAUACGGUUAAUACCCGUGUGCGAUGACGUUAGC